rnacentral:rRNA from 1 species
AUUGAACGCUGGCGGCAUGCUUUACACAUGCAAGUCGAACGGCAGCGCGGGCUUCGGCCUGGCGGCGAGUGGCGAACGGGUGAGUAAUGCAUCGGAACGUGCCCAGUAGUGGGGGAUAGCCCGGCGAAAGCCGGAUUAAUCCCGCAUACGACCUGAGGUUGAAAGGGGGGGACCGAAAGGCCUCGCGCUAUUGGAGCGGCCGAUGUCGGAUUAGCUAGUUGGUGGGGUAAAGGCUUACCAAGGGGACGAUCCGUAGCUGGUCUGAGAGGACGACCAGCCACACUGUCACUGAGACACGGCCCAGACUCCUACGGGAGGCCGCAGUCGGGACUUUUGCACGAUGGAGGCAACCCUGAUCCAGCAAUGCCGCGUGAAGCAAGAAGCACUUCGGGUUGUAAACCGCUUUUGUUCGGGAAGAUGUACUGUGCGCUAAUCCCCCGGGAUGAUGACGGUACCGGAAGAAUAAGCACCGGCUAACUACGUG